CCUACGGGAGGCAGCAGUGGGGAAUAUUGCACAAUGGGCGCAAGCCUGAUGCAGCCAUGCCGCGUGUGUGAAGAAGGCCUUCGGGUUGUAAAGCACUUUCAGCGGGGAGGAAGGCGGUGAGGUUAAUAACCUCAUCGAUUGACGUUACCCGCAGAAGAAGCACCGGCUAACUCCGUGCCAGCAGCCGCGGUAAUACGGAGGGUGCAAGCGUUAAUCGGAAUUACUGGGCGUAAAGCGCACGCAGGCGGUCUGUCAAGUCGGAUGUGAAAUCCCCGGGCUCAACCUGGGAACUGCAUUCGAAACUGGCAGGCUAGAGUCUUGUAGAGGGGGGUAGAAUUCCAGGUGUAGCGGUGAAAUGCGUAGAGAUUUGGAGGAAUACCGGUGGCGAAGGCGGCCCCCUGGACAAAGACUGACGCUCAGGUGCGAAAGCGUGGGGAGCAAACAGGAUUAGAUACCCCAGUAGUC
rnacentral:rRNA from 1 species